rnacentral:rRNA from 1 species
UAAAAAUUUAAUUUGUUAUUCUAAGUUAUUAAUAGUUAUGGUCUUUAAAAUUAAAGAUUUUGGCGGUAUUUUAGUCUUUUCAGAGGAACCUGUUCUAUGAUUGAUAGUCCACGAUUAAAUGUACUUAAAUUAUUAAUUUAUAUAUCGUCGUAGUUGAAUAUUUUAAAAGAAUAUAAUAUUCAUAAAAUUUAAUUUAAUAAAAAAUCAGAUCAAGAUAUAGUUUAUAUUUAAGAAGAAAUGGGUUACAAUAAAAUAAUUUAUAUGGAAAUACUUAUUUAAAUAAGUAUAGAAGGUGGAUUUGAAAGUAAUUUGAUUUAUUUAAUUUAAAUGAUUUAAGCUCUAAAAUAUGC